rnacentral:rRNA from 1 species
UGUGAAUUGCAGAAUCCCGUGAACCAUCGAGUCUUUGAACGCAAGUUGCGCCCGAAGCCAUUAGGCCGAGGGCACGUCUGCCUGGGCGUCACG